GCUUUCGAGAAACGGGCCCCUGGACGUUAAAACGUAAUUGUGUGCUGAAUUUGGUUCCAUUGCCAUUUAUGCCUUCAGAAACAUAACUAAUCAAUUAUUUUUACCAGUGAAAGCCUUUGACCCAGACCUUAAACUACUUGAGUUGAAAAUACAUGGGAAACGCAUGACGGAAAGUAAGAGAAAAUCUACGGAGAAAAAGAGCGGGGAACGCAGCGAGAACUGGCGGGGACGAACGAGGAAGAAGGGGAAAGGGGCGAGACAACAGACCAGGAGACGCACGAGCAAACGUACGGCGAAAAAGUUGAAAAUGUCUAAAGAAAGGGGAACUUGGUAACCGUAUGGUAGAAUCAACAGGAAAAUUUUUAUACGGAAUUCGAGAUUUUUCCUAUCAAAAACACUUCGCACAAGUUUGGGGGGCCAGUGUGAAUGGUCCCCUCAGUGUGGAGCUUCUGAAGGAGCCGCGAGGGUAAAGGAGAAAUAUCCCACAAUUCCUAUCGAUCGUUUAACUUGAGAAUUUUUGUGUGUGCGAAGUUCACAUUAAGUUGGCAGCAAAAGUUUGUCUGUUUACGAGAAUCACGUGAUCGAAAGGAAUUCUACCAAUCCUACAGAUUCGAAGAUUGGGUGUUUAAGUUGGCUUGUGCGAGUGGAUUUUCGACCUCCUUCAUGUUGGCCGUUUCGCUUUUGUGUACCAUUUAUGGGUUGUAAGAUACUUCAUUUUUUUUUAUUUUCCCAGCUUUCAGUUAUCAAGGUAGGUUUCUCUAAAGGUCUUUUACAACUGAACAUAUUUCUCGUCAAAAAAAGGCGCAACACUGUGACAACGGUACAGAGUGACGAAAUAGCGGCGCUAACGGACUCACGUGAGCAGACUACCUAUUGUCUAAACACGCUAGCAGCGUUGCAGGCGUAAACGGGGAAGGGGUAGGGAUCGGGAGGCAAAAAAAGCAAAACGCGAGAAAGAAAGAGAACAGCACCCUGUCCCGAUAAAGACGCCCGUUUCCAAUAAGCAUCGCAGUUUAAUUUCCUCAAUCCGUAAAAUUCAAACAAGCAAAAAGGACGCUACGCACGCACAAGUACGCAGUGCUGACCUAUUUUUUUCCACGUGCUGGCGUCGAACGAAAGAGAAAGACCGUGAGACUAUGUUUUUCAACUUCUUGGUCACAGAAAAAGAACGGAAAUUAGGAAUGUAUCGGAAAGCCGAGGCCGAAGCCGCCAUAUUGUUUAUAAGCUUACAUUAAGCUUAAGGAUUGCCAGAUGUGCGACUCAGUGCAGGAUACUUCUCUCCCAUGAAAACAAUGCAGGGGCAAUUGUCUAG